CCUACGGGAGGCAGCAGUGGGGGAUAUUGCUCAAUGGGGGGAACCCUGAUGCAGCGACGCCGCGUGGGUGAAGGAGUGCUUAGGCAUGUAAAGCCCUAUCGGCAGGGAAGAAGCAAGACGGUACCUGACUAAGAAGCCCCGGCUAACUACGUGCCAGCAGCCGCGGUAAUACGUAGGGGGCGAGCGUUCUCCGGAUUCACUGGGUGUAACGGGAGCGUAGACGGCCAUGCAAGCCAGGGGUGAAUGCCCGAGGCCAAACCCCGGGACUGCCUUUGAAACUGCAUGGCUGGAGUGCGGGAGGGGCAGGCGGAAUGCCUGGUGUAGGGGUGAAAUGCGUAGAGAUCAGGAGGAACACCGACUGCGAAGGCGGCCUGCUGGACCGCUACUGACGUUGAGGCUCGAAAGCGUGGGGAGCGAACAGGAUUAGAUACCCGAGUAGUC
rnacentral:rRNA from 1 species